AUAUGUCGACGCGUUGUCGCGUGUGAUGAAAGUUGACAUUGUUUAAUACGAGUUAGAAGACAUCGAAAACCAAUACAAGUAUAUUAAUGGAAGUCCAUUUAUCAAUGCAAGCAUUUCUUGAAAAGAUCGCGCGGCUGGGCCCACUGUGCGGCGCUCCGGGCGAGGACGCGUCUUUACAGCACAGUUCCUCCAUCUUGCCUCGCUUUUUGUACCGGACCACCCAACACGAACUCGCUACAUUAUUUUAUUGUACAAUAAACAAAUUUAUUGCUCCA